AGUAACGGCGAGUGAAGCGGCAACAGCUCAAAUUUGAAAUCUGGCUCUCGGGCCCGAGUUGUAAUUUGUAGAGGAUACUUUUGAUGCGGUGCCUUCCGAGUUCCCUGGAACGGGACGCCAUAGAGGGUGAGAGCCCCGUCUGGUUGGAUGCCAAAUCUCUGUAAAGUUCCUUCGACGAGUCGAGUUGUUUGGGA
rnacentral:rRNA from 1 species